AAACUCCGCUCAUGGGUGAGAGCAGCCGAAAGGUCUCUCAACGCAAGCUGUUAUGCGUGGUUAGCCCUGUCAGCGGGGUUUUC
rnacentral:ncRNA from 1 species